CUUGGGCACACAAUCCACGCUGCGGGUGCUGAACGCGGCGUUGCCGAAGGACGAGACCAUGCCCAGCCCCGCGCCGGCCCCUCCGCUCUUCACGGUGCAUUUGCCUCCGAUUCCAGACAGGGACCGGCACUCCCCGACCGUGCCCCCGCCGCUGACCACGGCUGCGGGAGAGAAACACGCUCGGUCACGCCCGGAGCAGCCAAAACCCGGCUCAAAAGGAGCGUUGCGAACUUAAAGAGCUUGUAAGGAAAUCAAGACGGGGCUCAUUAACUCACCUACGCUCACAGGGUUGCCGGUGCAUAUCCUGUCAAGGAAAGAAACGCGUCAGACAUGUAUUUAGGGACAUAUUCCUCAAAUUCACGAGCAAACAGAGCCCAGCUACUGCCUCCUUAGAAACCUGACGUCCUUCAGCUCGUUAGGGGCAGCCUGCUGAGAGAUGCUUGCCCACCAAAGCACUGCAGGGUUGAGUCCCUAAUGCCAUGGUCUUACUAAUAUCCCAUCCUCUUUUUGGAUGGGAGUGUGAUCCCCUCUGCACCGAGUGGGAGGGAAAAGGGGCCCUGCUCCCCUCUGCAGCCCCGGGUGCAGCAUUUGUUUCUCCUCCCCCCGUCUUUUGCUGAUCAUCCUUACAAGGUGCAUCCAGGGCUGCUCCUACCUGCUCUCUUCUCCCUCCAGCAGCGUCCUGUAUGUGGCAAUCUCAAUGUCCAGGGCCAGCUUGACAUUGAGCAGCUCCUGGUAGUCCCUGAGCAGACAGGCCAUCUUGUCCUUGGCCUGCUGCAGGGCUGUCUGCAGGUCAACCAGCUUCUGCCGGGCAUCCUUGAGGGCGCAGUCUCCUCGUUGCUCGGCAUCACAGAUUGCUGUCUGCAGGGCUGAGAUCUGGGGACAGCCACAGGACGACAUCCCCACAAAGCUUCAGUCAAGUAAGGUCAUCACAGAACUUGCCCCGGCUGCUGUGGAGUUCCUCCAGCUGUUGCAUGGGAAGGGGAUGAUGUCAAUGCACCCAAAUCCCUCUUCCCAGGCCCCCCACCUCCCCGGAAAGUUGGAAAUCUCUGAAGCUGCACCAGGGUCAGUGUUCCCUGGGCACCACCCAGACAUGGCCUCAGCCCGGGUAAGGUGAGAGUCUCAGGGGGUCCUGGACUUGCUGAUCUUGGAGCCCUUUUCCAGCCUUAGGGUUCUAUGGUUUUCCCUUUGGGAAGUAAUGAUGCUCCUCAGAGCGCAUGAAGGGGGCAUCUCUAAACACUCUGAUCUGCUCUGUGUGUACCAAAAUGUCUCAAACCACACUUUUAAGGUUGGUUUGUGUUUGGGGUUUUUUUUGGUACAACUUUCUUAAGCAAAACUGAAGCCAAUACACAGCGUGAGGCGGGUUAAAGCUGCAUCAUGGAGGAUGGGAAUGGUCUCAGGAAUGGUCUGUCAAAGAAAUUUGUGGAAUACUCACCCUGGUUUGGUAGAAAGCCUCCACCUCGGCCUUGCUCUUCUGGGCAAUCUCCUCAUAGCAGCACUCCACGCUUUUGAUGAUGCCCUCCAUGUCCAGGUCCCGGCUGUUGUCCAUUUGCACGAUGACAGAGGUGUCACACAGCUGACAGUCCAGCUGAGCCCUCUCCUGCAGGACCAGAGCAUCAGUUCCAUUCCCUCACCCAGCCCCAGCCAGGCCAGCAGCAACCCCAGCAAGGGGGGUCUGGUUGGAGGAGGUUCUCCUCUGAACUCCCAGCAUGGGGUUUUCCACUUGGGCAACUUGUGUCCAGCAACACCUGGCAGCUGGGACCUGUUUUGGUGGCACAACAAGGGAUGGCUGCAUGCAGUUCCCUAAGGGAGGGUGGGGAGUUCUGGUGAAACAAGCCACUUCUGCAUUCCUGGCUGUGCCAGUGCUUUCCUGGAUUGGGAAUCCUCAUGUUCUUUGAGCCCCACUGACCCCUGCUGAGGGGGUUUAGCUCAAAAAGGUGUCCACGCAAA